rnacentral:rRNA from 1 species
UACGAACUGUGCGAACGUUAUUCGGAAUCACUGGGCUUAAAGGGUGCGUAGGCGGCUUUGUAGGUCAGAUGUGAAAGCCCACGGCUCAACCGUGGAAUUGCGUUUGAAACCACAAGGCUUGAGGGGAUCAGAGGAGAGCGGAACUCAUUGUGGAGCGGUGAAAUGCGUUGAUAUGAUGAGGAACACCGGUGGCGAAAGCGGCUCUCUGGGAUCCUUCUGACGCUGAGGCACGAAAGCUAGGGGAGCGAACGGG